CUACGGGCUGCUCCAGUGGGGAAUAUUGCACAAUGGGCGCAAGCCUGAUGCAGCCAUGCCGCGUGUAUGAAGAAGGCCUUCGGGUUGUAAAGUACUUUCAGCGGGGAGGAAGGGAGUAAAGUUAAUACCUUUGCUCAUUGACGUUACCCGCAGAAGAAGCACCGGCUAACUCCGUGCCAGCAGCCGCGGUAAUACGGAGGGUGCGAGCGUUAAUCGGAAUUACUGGGCGUAAAGCGCACGCAGGCGGUUUGUUCAGUCGGAUGUGAAAUCCCCGGGCUCAACCUGGGAACUGCAUCCGAUACUGGCGGGCUUGAGUAUGGUAGAGGGGGGUAGAAUUCCAGGUGUAGCGGUGAAAUGCGUAGAGAUCUGGAGGAAUACCGGUGGCGAAGGCGGCCCCCUGGACGAAGACUGACGCUCAGGUGCGAAAGCGUGGGGAGCAAACAGGAUUAGAUACCCCAGUAGUC
rnacentral:rRNA from 1 species